AAGCAGCUUGCUGCUUCGCUGACGAGUGGCGGACGGGUGAGUAAUGUCUGGGAAACUGCCUGAUGGAGGGGAUAACUACUGGAAACGGUAGCUAAUACCGCAUAACGUCGCAAGACCAAAGAGGGGACCUUCGGGCCUCUCACUAUCGGAUGAACCCAGAUGGGAUUAGCUAGUAGGCGGGGUAAUGGCCACCUAGGCGACGAUCCCUAGCUGGUCUGAGAGGAUGACCAGCCACACUGGAACUGAGACACGGUCCAGACUCC
rnacentral:rRNA from 1 species